rnacentral:rRNA from 1 species
UACGUAGGUGGCAAGCGUUGUCCGGAAUUAUUGGGCGUAAAGCGCGCGCAGGUGGUUUCUUAAGUCUGAUGUGAAAGCCCACGGCUCAACCGUGGAGGGUCAUUGGAAACUGGGGAACUUGAGUGCAGGAGAGAAGAGUGGAAUUCCACGUGUAGCGGUGAAAUGCGUAGAGAUGUGGAGGAACACCAGUGGCGAAGGCGGCUCGCUGGACCGGGUUCUGGACGCUGAGGCGCGAAAGCGUGGGGAGCAAACGGG